rnacentral:rRNA from 1 species
GGAAGAAAAAAUAGCAAGUUAACUCAAAGAAUUUAUCACACAAAUAGUCAAUUUGUUAGAACUUGCUUAGUAGUGAAUUGGGAACAAGAAGAAAAAGAAAAGGCUGGUGCUUCCCUUGUUGAGGUAAGAGCAAAUGAUCUUAUUCGCGAUUUCCUUUUAAGGGAAAGAAGGAAAAAGGCAGAUUCAAAAUCUUUUUUCUUCGGACUUUCCCAAACACAAAAUACCUCCUUGUAUUCGCACUCUCAAAUGAGAGUGCCAUAA